CUGAGGUGUGUGUUACCAAAUGUUGUGAAGAGAUGAAGAACACGGAAGUCCGUGGGGCAGACAGAGGAUCCAGGGCGAACGAGAGGUGCCGAGAGAAAACGUGUCCAAGCGGUAGGUCGAGAAUCCAAAAGGGCAGUCCGGGAGGCAAGGGGAACAACAGGGGAUCACAAGAGAACACGGGGAGCGCUGCGGGAAGACAACAGGAACAUCAGCCACAACGGAAACACGGAAAUCGCAGGGGAAGAGCGAGUACGCGGGAUGGAAGCCAAAUACGGGAUGCUUACUCAUGUACAGAAGACUAUACUCCGGCGAGGUCGGGAAGGCGCACGGCGAGUCCUUUGAUAUACGCGGCCGUGGGCGUGUCCCGAAGAGCGCACAGACGGAGGAGCGGCUUUGGCAGGAGUCCGAGCCGUAACAUUUCCGAGCUGUCAUCUUAUCGUGGUAGAGGUGUUUGCAUGUCCCAAUGAUCCGAGGAGCUAUGUUUUUCGGGGGCUUGUAUGCCCCCUGGUAGGGUCUCCCAAGACAAAGAGGUCUACACCCAAAAAUCGACAGUUGUUGAUUUGUGAUAAAAAAAAAAAAAAUUAAAAAUACAAAAAAAGGUGCCAAAAUGAUACUGUAAAAUUGCAGGGGGUUUUUUUUACAUUAAAAAAACUAACGUAAAUUUUUCAGUAAAAUUCUGCCAAAUGAGUUGCCUUAUUUUUUUAACCAUAAAAACAGCAGUAUAGUUUUUCCAUUUACAGUAAUAUACACUCAAUUUUGAGGUGAAAUUAUUGCAACUCGCCAUAUAUUUUUUACAUUUUAGUUUUUAAAAAAUUUACUGAUAAAAUGCAUAAAAAAUGUGUAAUAAUAGUAUUCACUGUUAGAAGCGGGGAGCCAAACAUAACUGCGAUGUGGCCCUCAGUGAAAACGACUCUGACACCUCUGUUCUAUAGCCAGCAUUAUGAGUGUAUGUGCCUUUUUGUAGGGCGCUUAGUGAGCGAAGUUUACUUAUAUUUUCAAGUAUUUGUUAUACUUGAUUCAAAUAAUUCGUUCAUGAAUGAGUAUAUCCGUUCGUCCACCGUGUUCAAUGGAGAAGACAGAUCUACAAAAUUUGCAGGCAGCAUACCCCUUCCCCUUCGAGCUAUCCUGGAUGAACUGAAAUAAUUGUUUUUCCAAUCAUUUUGGAACUUGCAAGCAUAUUUCUUCAUACUCGUCGUGGCCAUGUCUCUUCUAUGUUCUUCUGCUUCGUCUCUGUUAUGAUUUCUGACAUUUUGAAGCAAUGCAUGUUGGGAAUGCGGAUGUUGUGUGUCAGUGUAUUAACGUGCCGGCUUGAAUAAACACACGCUGAGAAAUA